GGCCAGGAAGAAGCUGUAAACAGCCACGGUCACCACCUGGGGAAGGACGCCAAGGGACACACCAGGGCAGCACUUCCAGAUACAUUCUUCCUUGUGGCUUUUCAUCUGGAUUCCAGAAACCUCCACUGGCAUUGGCUGUUCUGGAAUGUGUCAAGGACCUGCUUCACAGGUACCUCCCAUUGCCCAGGAUCUCAAAGACCUGCCUGUCCCCUCUGUCACUCACAUUCAGGAUGCCUUGGAGCAGCACGCUGUCCCGGAUCCUCCCGUCAUUCCUCGCCUUCACAGCCAGAUUGGAGAACCACACGCACGGGAUCCAAAACUUGUUGUGGGGGGAAUUCAAGCUCUCAAACUUC